rnacentral:rRNA from 1 species
UGAGGAAUAUUGGUCAAUGGGCGUAAGCCUGAACGAGCCAUCCCGCGUGAAGGAUGAAGGCCUUCGGGUUGUAAACUCCUUUUCUUAGGGAAAAUGAUGAUGGUACCUAAGGAAUAAGCCACGGCUAACUCUGUGCCAGCAGCCGCGGUAAGACAGAGGUGGCGAGCGUUGUUCGGAAUUACUGGGCUUAAAGGGCGAGUAGGCGGUGGAGCAAGUCUGAGGUGGAAUCCUAUGGCUUAACCAUAGAACUGCCUUGGAUACUGUUUCACUUGAGUCAGUGAGGGGAGGGCAGAAUUCCCGGUGUAGCGGUGAGAUGCGUAGAUAUCGGGAGGAAGGCCAGUGGCGAAGGCGGCCCUCUGGCGCUGAACUGACGCUGAGGCGCGAAAGCGUGGGGAGCAAACAGGAUUAGAUACCCUGGUAGUCCACGCCCUAAACGGUGGGCAUUAGGUGUAGGGUCCGUAAGGGUUCUGUGCCGAAGGGAAACCAUUAAAUGCCCCGCCUGGGGAGUACGGCCGCAAGGUUG